rnacentral:lncRNA from 1 species
AGAGGCGACAGGUGGUGCAGCGUUAGACACUGGGAAGCUCUGUGGCUUUUGUAUUCCUGAGCGCGAAGGUUAAUGACGGAUCCGUGGGGUUGAGCUUGUCGGUACAGACGCCAGACAGCCCGAUUUACGGGAACAGCCGAUUAGAGGAUUCGGGAGAGCGGUCGGUGAACUUCUGGAUGUCUUUCGGGAGGGGAAGGCUCUA